rnacentral:rRNA from 1 species
CAACAGGGAUUGCCCUAGUAACGGCGAGUGAAGCGGCAAAAGCUCAAAUUUGAAAUCUGGCGUCUUCGGCGUCCGAGUUGUAAUUUGUAGAGGAUGCUUCUGAGUUGUCACCGGUCUAAGUUCCUUGGAACAGGACGUCAUAGAGGGUGAGAAUCCCGUAUGUGACCGGCCAGACGCUCUGUACGUAGCUCCUUCGACGAGUCGAGUUGUUUGGGAAUGCAGCUCUAAAUGGGAGGUAAAUUUCUUCUAAAGCUAAAUACCGGCCAGAGACCGAUAGCGCACAAGUAGAGUGAUCGAAAGAUGAAAAGCACUUUGGAAAGAGAGUUAAAAAGCACGUGAAAUUGUUGAAAGGGAAGCGCUUGCAACCAGACUUGUCGGCGGUGUUCCGCCGGUCUUCUGACCGGUCUACUCACCGUUUGCAGGCCAGCAUCGUCUGGGACCGUCGGAUAAAGGCUUUGGGAAUGUAGCUCCCUCGGGAGUGUUAUAGCCCUUUGCACAAUACGACGCGACCCGGGCGAGGUCCGCGCUUCGGCUAGGAUGCUGGCGUAAUGGUUGUAAGCGGCCCGUCUUGAAACACG